AUGAAGGACUAUAAACACUGAAUUUAAGAAGUUUGAAUCCCAGAGAGCCCUCUAGUACUUGGUGGAGAAGCAGUGAGAGAUCUGAGCUUGGCUGGUUAGCAGGUCAUAAAGAAUCAUAGGUAUGGCUGGCUGGAAGAAUGUGGGAAUGAGUAUGAAUAGUUCAUAGAGACAUAAUUUUAAGCACUUUGAAACCCAUACCAUAUAUUUAAUUCUUCACAGUUGACUGAAAAUCAUUUUGUGGGUCUAAGAAAAGAGGACAUUAAGUACUGGAGCUGGAAGUAGAACUCAGGUCUGUGUGACUCCAAAGCUCAAGCUUUUCACCACUAUGGCAGGAAGAUGAAGUGUCCAUGAGACAAAGCAAUUCACCCUAGGGAUGUGUGGAAGAAGUUGCCAAGCCAAGAAGGGAACCAAGGAGGUUGGAAUUGGAGCUCUUUGUGUUUUCAACUUAAGGAGAGACUCAUUCCAGGGCACCUACCUGGAUCAUUUGGUGGAGCAUGCAACUCUUGAUCUCAGGGGGUUGUCAGUU